CACCCACACCCCUGUACUUUGUUUCUUGUAAGUAAUUUUAUCACAGAGACGUAAGUCAGCACAAGGUGGUAAUUGUUUGGUAGUGAAGGGAUAUUUGCAUGUCAGAAUGAUCCUUAUUUCCUGGUGGAGACUUGAGACAAGGACUCAAAGAUGAAGAGAGGCUAAGAAGGACUUCCAUAUCUCUGACAGGGAUGUCUUCAGUUUGUCCUUUAAGCUGUGGCUGUGGACAGUUUUGAUCCUUGUGUAGUGAUAUGCACUGUACCAGCCAAGUAAGCUUCACACAGAGUUUCAUGAAAGGCACCUCCAGGACACCUUGAAGGAGUGGAGUAUUUGAACAGAACUUCAAAAAGGACACCUGUCACCAUCCUGUGCUUGGGAGUUGCUGAGCAGCCAUCCUGGCCUCUGCCCACUGGGUGCCAAGAGCAACCGCACCACUAACAGAGGCAACCAACCAUGUCUCCAAACUGGCCAGGGCCUCAUGGGGAAGCUGCUCAGACUGAGAACAGUUAUCGGAGGAAAUGAGGAAAGCAGUGGCCUCUAUCAGAGGUCACCAGAAGCUAUGCCUGUAGUGAAUCAAGGCAGGAAGCAAAGAAAACAGACUGAAAGGAUUAACAGGAGGCUGAGUCAAGUGGAUGAAGAAAUUCUUGUUCACUAAGGUUUCCACUGUAGAAGCUUGAAGACCCAACUACACUGAGCAACACCCACAUAAAAAUGUCAGGCAUGAAGCUAACAACCAACAGAGCCAGUUAGUAAGGGUCAAGUUCAGUGAGAGACCCUGCCUCCAAAGAGGUACAUUAGUGUGAGAGGAGGGCACACACAUGCAGUUUCCUGAGGACACUCUGCUUGGAAAUUCAAUCAGUCCCACAGGCUAAGUACCUAGUCCC